CGGCCCGUCUCGGGGCCCUGAGUCAUCGCCGCCCCCGGCCCCGACGCUGGCCUGCGGCGUCUGUUUGUGCAGAGCGAGGCCCCGCCGGCCGGGCUUGACGUCAGGCUGGCAGGGCCUGGAACGGCCCCGCAUCGCGGCCCCCUGGGGGCAGGACGACACCGCUGGGGGCCGAGGGCAGGGCACGCCUUCGGAAUCCGGCUUCGAAGCCGGCCGCCUGACCUGGGGCAAGUGCUUUCAACUCUCUGAACUUCGGUUCCUCAUCUGCCAGUUGGCAGACGCUCAGCAAAUCUUCCUAGACUCACGGGGCGAAUUGUACAGUUGGGUAAAUCGAGGCCCAGAGAUGGCAAAAGGACCGUCCAAGGUCGUACAGCCACCCGGAAUUACAAUUCUUUUCUGCCGGGUCACACGCUGUCAUCCACGUGUUACCUAAGAGAGCUUUCCAGCCUGUGCUAAGAAAACUGCCCCACAUCAUCUGCAGUAGGACGGGGGAGUUGGAGCCCUGGUCAGGCCACUCUGCUACUGACCACAGUUUUCUCAUCUCUAAAAAGGCGCAGUAACAAUAUAAUUACCGUAUGCAGUCCCCCAGGAUACAGGGUCAAAGGAGAGCACAACCAUCGCAGUUGGAAGCCCAUGGGGCAGGGCCCAGGACACAGUGAGCAUACAAUAGACAUUAGCUGCUGUGGUGUCUUGAUUUCAAGCCCAGUGCAGAUGCAUCUGACUUACGAAACUUCAGUGACACCUGCUCUGUGCCAGACACUGAAGAUGGAGCAGUGAACAGCACUGACCCAGCCUGUCCUCCUGUUGCCUGCAGGCCAGACGGAGUCUCACUCUGUCACCAGGCUGGAGUACAGUGGUGUGAUCUCGGCUCACUGCAACCUCCGCCUCCCAGGUUCAAGCGAUUCUCCUGCCUCAGCCUCUCAAGUAGCUGAGAUUACAGACGUGUGUCACCAUGCCCUGUUAAUUUUUGUUUGUUUGUUUUGUUUUUUGUUUUGUUUUGUUUCGUUUUUUGUUUUUUUUUUUUGAGACGGAGUCUUGCUCUGUCGCCCAGGCUGGAGUGCAGUGGCCCCGAUCUCGGCUCACCGCAAGCUCCGCCUCGCGGGUUCAUGCCAUUCUCCGGCCUCAGCCUCCCGAGUAGCUGGGACUACAGGCAUCCGCCACCACACCCAGCUAAUUUUUUGUAUUUUUUUUAGUAGAGACGGGGUUUCACUGUGUUAGCCAGGAUGGUCUCGAUCCCCUGACCUUGUGAUCCACCCAAGGCCUCGGCCUCCCAAAGUGCUGGGAUUACAGGCAUGAGCCACCGUGCCCGGUCAAUUUUUAUAUUUUUUGUAGAGACAGGGUUUCACCAUGUUGGCCAGGCUGGUGUCGAACUCCCGACCUCAGGUGAUUGUCGGCCUUGGCCUCCCAAAGUGCUGGGAUUACAGGCGUGAGCCACCGCGCCCAGCCGGUGGGCAGCCAGUUGUGUUCCGGGAGGAGGAGGACACCCUGGAAAGACAGUGGGGCCAGACACUGAACUGCCUUUGGAAGCAAGUAGGAGCAACAGCGAAGGUUUGCUGGCUCAGAAGCAAGGUCUCGCUGUGUUACCCUGGCUGGAGUGCAGUGGCUACUUACAGGCAUGAUCAUAGCAUACUGCAGCCUCGAACUCCUGGACUAGAGCAGUUCUCCUGCCUCAGCCUCCAGAGCAGCUGGGACUGCAGACACGCACCACAGAGCCCAGCCUGAGUCAUUUUGAUUCUGUAACUGGCUUCCUCUCGGCGGGCAGGCUCACACCCUCCACCCCCAGCUGGAGAUGGAAGGAGGAUGCUCACCGCCCAUUCCUCAUGCAGGCCAUCGAUGGAAAUGUCAGACAGUGCGAGUCCACGCCUGAACACUUCUGGGGUCCGCUCUGGGACUGACACUGGCAGAUCCAUCGUGGCACCCGAGCUCUGUGAGGGCAAGACUUUGUUCGGUUGUGGGCUAUGCCCCCAACCCCUCGGACAGUGCCUGCACAGGUGGACAUUUUUGUUGGAUGAAGGAUUUUCUGUUAAAUGUGUCUGGCACACACAGAAAAACAAAGCCCAGCAGAUGCCGUUCCAUUGUUUGCUGACUUUCAUUGAUUCUAUGAGAAGUCUGCAGUCUUUUGCAGCGUUGUUUUCCUAUGUAUAAUUGUCUCCUCCCACCCCACUCACCCCAGCUGCUUUCCACAUUCUCUCUCUUUGAUUUUCAGCAGUCUGCCCAUGAUGUGCCUAAAUAGGACUUUCUUUGCAUUCAUCUUGGCUGGGGCUCACUGAACUUUCUGAAUCUGUAGAUUAAUUUUCUUUUUUCAAUAAACCUUGGAAUAUUUUCAGCAUA
rnacentral:lncRNA from 1 species